rnacentral:rRNA from 1 species
UUGAACGCUGGCGGCAGGCCUAACACAUGCAAGUCGAACGGUAACAGGAAGCAGCUUGCUGCUUUGCUGACGAGUGGCGGACGGGUGAGUAAUGUCUGGGAAACUGCCUGAUGGAGGGGGAUAACUACUGGAAACGGUAGCUAAUACCGCAUAACGUCGCAAGACCAAAGAGGGGGACCUUCGGGCCUCUUGCCAUCGGAUGUGCCCAGAUGGGAUUAGCUUGUUGGUGGGGUAACGGCUCACCAAGGCGACGAUCCCUAGCUGGUCUGAGAGGAUGACCAGCCACACUGGAACUGAGACACGGUCCAGACUCCUACGGGAGGCAGCAGUGGGGAAUAUUGCACAAUGGGCGCAAGCCUGAUGCAGCCAUGCCGCGUGUAUGAAGAAGGCCUUCGGGUUGUAAAGUACUUUCAGCGGGGAGGAAGGGAGUAAAGUUAAUACCUUUACUCAUUGACGUUACCCGCAGAAGAAGCACCGGCUAACUCCGUGCCAGCAGCCGCGGUAAUACGGAGGGUGCAAGCGUUAAUCGGAAUUACUGGGCGUAAAGCGCACGCAGGCGGUUUGUUAAGUCAGAUGUGAAAUCCCCGGGCUCAACCUGGGAACUGCAUCUGAUACUGGCAAGCUUGAGUCUCGUAGAGGGGGGUAGAAUUCCAGGUGUAGCGGUGAAAUGCGUAGAGAUCUGGAGGAAUACCGGUGGCGAAGGCGGCCCCCUGGACGAAGACUGACGCUCAGGUGCGAAAGCGUGGGGGGCAAACAGGAUUAGAUACCCUGGUAGUCCACGCCGUAAACGAUGUCGACUUGGAGGUUGUGCCCUUGAGGCGUGGCUUCCGGAGCUAACGCGUUAAGUCGACCGCCUGGGGAGUACGGCCGCAAGGUUAAAACUCAAAUGAAUUGACGGGGGCCCGCACAAGCGGUGGAGCAUGUGGUUUAAUUCGAUGCAACGCGAAGAACCUUACCUGGUCUUGACAUCCACAGAACUUUCCAGAGAUGGAUUGGUGCCUUCGGGAACUGUGAGACAGGUGCUGCAUGGCUGUCGUCAGCUCGUGUUGUGAAAUGUUGGGUUAAGUCCCGCAACGAGCGCAACCCUUAUCCUUUGUUGCCAGCGGUCCGGCCGGGAACUCAAAGGAGACUGCCAGUGAUAAACUGGAGGAAGGUGGGGAUGACGUCAAGUCAUCAUGGCCCUUACGACCAGGGCUACACACGUGCUACAAUGGCGCAUACAAAGAGAAGCGACCUCGCGAGAGCAAGCGGACCUCAUAAAGUGCGUCGUAGUCCGGAUUGGAGUCUGCAACUCGACUCCAUGAAGUCGGAAUCGCUAGUAAUCGUGGAUCAGAAUGCCACGGUGAAUACGUUCCCGGGCCUUGUACACACCGCCCGUCACACCAUGGGAGUGGGUUGCAAAAGAAGUAGGUAGCUUAACCUUCGGGAGGGCGCUUACCACUUUGUGAUUCAUGACUGGGGUG